rnacentral:rRNA from 1 species
AUUGAACGCUGGCGGCAGGCCUAACACAUGCAAGUCGAGCGGAUGACGGGAGCUUGCUCCUUGAUUCAGCGGCGGACGGGUGAGUAAUGCCUAGGAAUCUGCCUGGUAGUGGGGACAACGUUUCGAAAGGAACGCUAAUACCGCAUACGUCCUACGGGAGAAAGCAGGGGACCUUCGGGCCUUGCGCUAUCAGAUGAGCCUAGGUCGGAUUAGCUAGUUGGUGAGGUAAUGGCUCACCAAGGCGACGAUCCGUAACUGGUCUGAGAGGAUGAUCAGUCACACUGGAACUGAGACACGGUCCAGACUCCUACGGGAGGCAGCAGUGGGGAAUAUUGGACAAUGGGCGAAAGCCUGAUCCAGCCAUGCCGCGUGUGUGAAGAAGGUCUUCGGAUUGUAAAGCACUUUAAGUUGGGAGGAAGGGCAGUAAGUUAAUACCUUGCUGUUUUGACGUUACCGACAGAAUAAGCACCGGCUAACUCUGUGCCAGCAGCCGCGGUAAGAC